rnacentral:rRNA from 1 species
UAGGGAAUAUUAGAAAUGGACGAAAGUCUGAUCUAGCAACACCGCGUGUGCGAAGAAGGCCUUCGGGUUGUAAAGCACUUUUUGGAAGGAUUAGGAAGGAAUGUACUUCCAGAAUAAGUCUCGGCUAACUACGUGCCAGCAGCCGCGGUAACACGUAGGAGGCAAACGUUAUCCGGAUUUACUGGGCGUAAAGCGCGUGUAGGUGGUUUGGUAAGUAGAGCGUGAAAGCUCCUGGCUCAACUGGGAGAGGUCGUUCUAAACUGCCGGACUAGAGGAUGGUAGAGGGAGGUGGAAUUCCGGGUGUAGCGGUGGAAUGCGCAGAUAUCCGGAGGAACACCAGUAGCGAAGGCGGCUCUCUGGACUGUAACUGACGCUGAGGCACGAAAGCGUGGGGAGCAAACA